CCUCCCGGGAGAGAGUGCGGCCACGGGUGGGGUUGUGUGUGUUGAGCUGUGGUGUUGCUUGGCAGGCGCGUGCGGGCCGAGCGUGUGAGUGGACGUGCGUGUGUGCGAGCGUGGGACGUGCAAGGCGAGUGCGUGCGCCCGCCCCUGAGCCCCUCCCCCGCCUACACCUUGAUCUUAUUUGAUCGGGUCGUGACCCCAGCCCCGCCGGGCCGCCCCGAAAUGAAAAGCUUCCCUCCUGCGAAGCCCGGUCUCCGGGCGCUGUGCAGCGAGGCCCCUUGGGCGGCGGCAGUGCCGCGGUUCCCGAGGUCCCGGAGCCGGUCCUGCGGGCCCGGUGCUCAGAAGUGAUGAAUUGAUCAGAUAGACGAGGCCGGGCCUGUCCCGGGCCAGUGAUUAUCGAGGCGAUUCUGAUCUGA
rnacentral:snoRNA from 1 species